rnacentral:rRNA from 1 species
UACGGAGGGUGCGAGCGUUGUUCGGAAUCACUGGGCGUAAAGCGCGUGUAGGCGGCCCACUAAGUCUGAUGUGAAAGCCCGGGGCUCACCCCGGAAGUGCAUUGGAAACUGGUGGACUCGAGUCCCGGAGAGGAGAGUGGAAUUCCUGGUGUAGCGGUGAGAUGCGUAGAUAUCAGGAGGAACACCGGUGGCGAAGGCGGCUCUCUGGACGGUGACUGACGCUGAGACGCGAAAGCGUGGGGAGCAAACAGG